CCGCACGACGCUGCGUUUAUCCGCUCUGGCAAUCGGUUGCGUGCCAGGCCGGCUGGGAUGACGCAAGAAGGCGUCCGCUGUGACAACGAGUUGCGUGCCCUUCCGACUCGUGCGCGAGGCCCCGAUGGUCGUUCGCAGCCAUGGCGUGACCAGGGACUGUACGAGGUGGACUCAUCGCUGUGGCAUUCAGUCGCGUGCUGCGCUGUGAUGUGAUCCAUCGAUGAGCAGACCCCCCACAGCGGUUUGGCUGGCGGAGACAUCUUCCGCAUUCGCUGUGGCAAUCGGCGGCGUGCUCAGCCGUGAUGCCCUUCAUGGUCGAGGGCACAUCAACCACAACGUCACUACUAUCAUGUAGCGCGGCCUUCUGUGGUAUCCACCUCUCUGGAUGGAAGAACAUUGACUCGUCUUUUAGCAAAGGUGGCUUCACAGACCACCAACAGUG